rnacentral:lncRNA from 1 species
GGUAAUGUUUGUGUGCAGAGUGGUAAAGCAAACGAGCAUUUAUGGGCUAUUCUGAUCCUUUCAUUGCCUGUGUACUGGUAACCAGGGAUCUUGACGUGAAAGAAAGCAGAUAUGGAUAUAACAAAGCAGAAGUUAAACAACAACUCUGUAAUGCUGGAUUUGGAUCAGACGGCCCAGUGUGAACUACUGAGGCAUUUCAUCUUCAAACAUUUAUACAUAUUUUAUUUAUAUUUUCUAGUGCUGUCCACUGAAAAGAACCAGGAACAAUGACCAACCCAGCAGCAUGAGUUACUUGGGAGAUUGAAGAAACAAGAAAAACAUUUAUUUUAAAGCUGAGCGUCACAGGUCGGGCUCCCUGCUUGGAAACUGAAUGAGGCCAGGUGAGGCCAGGUGUCCCUCUAUUUCUUGUUUGCUUGCAUUGAAGGAAACCGGUUGCCAUGCUAUGAGCUGCCCGAUGGAAAGGCCCACAUGGAAGGAACUGAAGUCUUCUGGCUCAAAGUCACUGAGGAACUGAGGCCCUCAGUGCAAAGGCCCUCAAGGUAUUGAGUUCUGCCAACAGUCAUACGAGUAAGACUGGAAGUGGAUCUUCCCGCAGUCAGGCCAUCAGGUGAGACCGCAUUCCUGGCUGACACUCUGACUGCAGCCAUGAGACACGUGGAGCCAGAGGCACCUGGCCAAACUGCAGCUGGAUUCCUGACCCACAGAAGACCCACACAAUAAAUGUUUCUUGUUUUAAGUAGUUAAGUUUUUUGUAAUUUAUUAUGCAGCAAUAGAUAACUAGUACAUCACAGGUAGUAUAGCUGGUGAUGAUGUUAGGAUAGUAGGAGCAUCAGUUU